rnacentral:tRNA from 1 species
GCCUCAGUGGCUUAGCUUGGUAUAGCGCGUCCUUGGUAAGGACGAGGUCGCGGAUUCAAAUUCCGCCUGAGGCU